CGGCAAUAUCACGUUGAAACACAGAUUUCCGUACGGUCGUUAAGCAACGUUGAGCCUGGUUAGUACCUUGAUGGGUGACCGCUUGGGAGUAAUAGGUGCUGUAAU